ACACGGCAUUGUCUAGUACGGCGAGUGAGCGGCAACAGCUCAAAUUUGAAAUCUGGCGUCUUCGGCGUCCGAGUUGUAAUUUGCAGAGGGCGCUUUGGCAUUGGCAGCGGUCCAAGUUCCUUGGAACAGGACGUCACAGAGGGUGAGAAUCCCGUACGUGGUCGCUAGCCUUUACCGUGUAAAGCCCCUUCGACGAGUCGAGUUGUUUGGGAAUGCAGCUCUAAAUGGGAGGUAAAUUUCUUCUAAAGCUAAAUACUGGCCAGAGACCGAUAGCGCACAAGUAGAGUGAUCGAAAGAUGAAAAGCACUUUGGAAAGAGAGUUAAAAAGCACGUGAAAUUGUUGAAAGGGAAGCGCUUGCAGCCAGACUUGCCUGUAGUUGCUCAUCCGGGUUUCUACCCGGUGCACUCUUCUAUAGGCAGGCCAGCAUCAGUUUGGGCGGUUGGAUAAAGGUCUCUGUCAUGUACCUCCUUUCGGGGAGAACUUAUAGGGGAGACGACAUGCAACCAGCCCGGACUGAGGUCCGCGCAUCUGCUAGGAUGCUGGCGUAAUGGCUGUAAGCGGCCCGUCUUGAACCACGGACCAA
rnacentral:rRNA from 1 species